AGAGUUUGAUCCUGGCUCAGGACGAACGCUGGCGGCGUGCUUAACACAUGCAAGUCGAACGGAAAGGCCCUUCGGGGUACUCGAGUGGCGAACGGGUGAGUAACACGUGGGUGAUCUGCCCUGCACUUUGGGAUAAGCCUGGGAAACUGGGUCUAAUACCGAAUAGGACCGCGCGCUUCAUGGUGUGUGGUGGAAAGCUUUUGCGGUGUGGGAUGGGCCCGCGGCCUAUCAGCUUGUUGGUGGGGUAAUGGCCUACCAAGGCGACGACGGGUAGCCGGCCUGAGAGGGUGACCGGCCACACUGGGACUGAGAUACGGCCCAGACUCCUACGGGAGGCAGCAGUGGGGAAUAUUGCACAAUGGGCGCAAGCCUGAUGCAGCGACGCCGCGUGAGGGAUGACGGCCUUCGGGUUGUAAACCUCUUUCACCAGGGACGAAGCGCAAGAGACGGUACCUGGAGAAGAAGCACCGGCCAACUACGUGCCAGCAGCCGCGGUAAUACGUAGGGUGCGAGCGUUGUCCGGAAUUACUGGGCGUAAAGAGCUCGUAGGUGGUUUGUCGCGUUGUUCGUGAAAACUCACAGCUUAACUGUGGGCGUGCGGGCGAUACGGGCAGACUAGAGUACUGCAGGGGAGACUGGAAUUCCUGGUGUAGCGGUGGAAUGCGCAGAUAUCAGGAGGAACACCGGUGGCGAAGGCGGGUCUCUGGGCAGUAACUGACGCUGAGGAGCGAAAGCGUGGGGAGCGAACAGGAUUAGAUACCCUGGUAGUCCAA
rnacentral:rRNA from 1 species